CACCAGCCCCUCGAGUGGUGGGGAUGAUUAUUUGGCCUAAAGCGUCCGUAGCCGGCCGGGUAAGUUUCCCGUUAAAUCCAGCGUCUCAAGCGUUGGACUGCGGGAAAUACUGCCUGGCUAGAGAGUGGGAGAGGUCAGCGGUAUUCUGGGGGUAGGGGCGAAAUCCUUUGAUCCCCGGAGGACCACCAGUGGCGAAGGCUGCUGACUAGAACACGUCUGACGGUCAGGGACGAAAGCUGGGGUAGCGAACCGGAUUAGAUACCCGGGUAGUCCCAGCCGUAAACGAUGCAUGCUAGGUGUUGGGUUGGCCACGAGCCACCCCAGUGCCGCAGGGAAGCCGUUAAGCAUGCCGCCUGGGAAGUACGAUCGCAAGGUUGAAACUUAA
rnacentral:rRNA from 1 species